UACGAAGGGGGCUAGCGUUGUUCGGAAUUACUGGGCGUAAAGCGCGCGCAGGCGGUUCUCCAAGUCAGUGGUGAAAGCCCGGAGCUCAACUCCGGAACGGCCAUUGAAACUGUUGAACUCGAGGACGAGAGAGGUGAGUGGAAUUCCCAGUGUAGAGGUGAAAUUCGUAGAUAUUGGGAAGAACACCGGUGGCGAAGGCGGCUCACUGGCUCGUUUCUGACGCUCAGGCGCGACAGCGUGGGGAUCGAAACAGG
rnacentral:rRNA from 1 species